GAUGCUGUGUUAUCUUUCUAUUUUGUUAAUUUUACAAAACAUUCCAACGGAAUAUUUGCAACAUUGGUUUGAAUUUCCUUUCAUCAAUGCAUUCGUAUUAAUUUUUACAGAACUACGAGAAACUUUAUUUUAUUGUAUGUUGUUUUAUUAUUGGAUUAUAUACUUCAAUGAAUGUCAAAUGAUUGAAAAAGAAUAUCAACAUUUGAAAAAAUAUCACAAAAC